CAACAUCUUCAUAAACCACCUGGAUGCAGGCCCUGAAGGAAUACUAAGUUUGGUGAUGAUACUAAAUUGGGAGCAGCUGUUGAUUCCCUUGAGGGCAGAGAGGACCUGCAGAGAGACCUCGGAAAAUUAGAGAUGAGCAAACAUGAACUGAAAUCUGAGAGCUAGCAAUCCAAAGCUUUAAUGCAGAAGCACUUCUAGAAUGUUAUAAGCGGGCCCUCAGCUCUGAUGGACUGAUAAGGAAAGAGUAAGCACUCUUGAAUACAUUAAAAGAAAUUAUGUUAAAACUCUCAGACACCUCAGGACUGUGGGAUGACAGUAUUAAAUGUCAUCUGCCUCCUGCCAUCAGAUGUCCAGUUAAGGACCUGACAGAUUGCCUUUCACAAAAUAACAGGACCAUCUGAAGUGUCUGGGCUGUCAGGUCUUCCUUUCUCUGGGCUAUGUAAGGACAGCUGUGUUUAAGAGAGAUUAAAGCAAUGCUCAGACCUCUCCACUGUGCCUCAGCUGCAGUGAAUUUCCCCACUGGCAGUGCUGGCAGCCCAGUGACACGGCAGCAGCCCCCAUCAGCCCAUGCCCCAGGGACUGCUCUGUGUGUGGAAGCAGCAGGAAGUCUGAACAACAGCCUUGCUGACUGAUCCGAACCCAGGGACAGCAGCUGCCAGGCCAGUUUCACCAUGUCAGAAUGGGAUUUUGUAAAAGGCAGUGUGAAGUUGGCAUGAAACCUUCUCGAUUUUGCUGUGAUACCUGACUUAAGCCAGCCAAGCAGAGUACA